rnacentral:rRNA from 1 species
UACGGGGGGUGCGAGCGUUGUCCGGAAUCACUGGGCGUAAAGGGCGCGUAGGUGGUUUGAUAAGGGUGUGGUGAAAGCCCGGGGCUCAACCCCGGGUCUGCGGUGCCGACUGUCAAACUCGAGGGCUGUAGAGGCAGACGGAAUUCCGGGUGUAGCGGUGGAAUGCGUAGAGAUCCGGAGGAAGACCGGUGGCGAAGGCGGUCUGCUGGGCAGUUUCUGACACUGAUGCGCGACAGCGUGGGGAGCAAACAGG